rnacentral:rRNA from 1 species
GACGUAGGGCGCGAGCGUUGUCCGGAUUUAUUGGGCGUAAAGAGCUUGUAGGCGGUUUGUCGCGUCUGCUGUGAAAAUCCGGGGCUCAACCCCGGACUUGCAGUGGGUACGGGCAGACUAGAGUGUGGUAGGGGAGACUGGAAUUCCUGGUGUAGCGGUGGAAUGCGCAGAUAUCAGGAGGAACACCGAUGGCGAAGGCAGGUCUC